rnacentral:tRNA from 1 species
GCGCCCGUAGCCAAGCGGUCCAUAAGGCACCGGACUCUUAAUCCGGCGAUCGUGGGUUCGAAUCCCACCGGGUGUA